ensembl:lncRNA
CCCUUAUUCUGUUUGUUUAGGUUUUCACAAUCUUUGUUAUGCUUACAAAUACUCGCACCAAAAUACUGUGUUAGCACAAAGGAGCCAAGAUUGGCAGUGGUGGUUGAAAAUAAAGUUUAGCUGCAAGUAAAAAUUAACCUGGUGUCUGUUUACAUAAUCUAGGCAGAAUCCAAAAAGUAAACACGGAGUAUUAUGAAAUAGCAAUUAAACUGCCAGAAUCAUUCACUACUAAUAGUCUAAUAAUAUUAAGGAUUUUUUAAAAACAGCUUUUCAGUCUGGCACCCUCUCUACUCGGGAAUGUUCUGCUUCCAUCCAAAAAUGCAAAAAUGCAUUACGUGUGUCAGUAGCUUAACCAAAGCAGAGGAAAUAUUUGAAGAUAUCUGAAAUAUAAAUUAUGUAAAAUAAACCUGGCACGCCAGGCAAAGCAAGACUGUCUCGUGGAGUUGUCAAAGUUAGUCUUUACAUCCUGAUCUGGGGGAGCUCCCUUUUGUACAGGCAAAAUGUACUGCCAUUCACUAAAAAAGUAAAUACAUUCCCCUCGAGAAGAAGUGGGAAUAAUUUUCUCAAAACAGUAUUAGAGAUAUGGGAGCUAAAAAUAAAUAAAUAAAACAAUAGACUCUGAGUGCUUGUGUCUUGUAGAGGAACAGAAGUCUGGUACCCAAAGAGAAAACAUAAUUGCUCUGUCCUGUCUGUGUUUGGAUAUGUGCUAUCCAGAGCAUCAGCAGUCAGUGGCAUUUUUUAGCAAUAGGAUUUCACCACUUUUGAAACGUAUUUCAAAUUACUAAUUAGAAGAAAGCUUUCUUAUGGGAUGAUCCAAUAGGUUUCCCGUCUUCUUCAGGAUGUCGGGACAUGACAGGAAAAGCUUGCCUGCUUCUGGAGGACAGUAGUAAAGAAAUCAUCAGGCAGCACAGCUGGUGAGAAAGCAUCCCAUGUUGGGGCAGCACGAUGCAGCUUGCGUCAGGCAACAGUGUGGAAUGGAUGAGGAGAACUACCACACCAACUGUUGCAGCCACAAUAAGAAUUUCAGAAGGUCUUGUGUUGUAGGGAGGAAAGUGCAUUUUCCUUACAUCAGCCAGUGUUACUGGAUUAAAAAUAAGCAAGUUGUUUUUGGUCAUGGAAGCCAUGUGAGUUUUGAAGUACAAUGUUAUCUUCAGUUCUAAUAAUUGUUAUGCUUUGUAUAGCAGUCCAUUACAUGACCUGUGUUAAUGCAGCAAAAAGAUUUACUUCUGCUUCUUAUGUGUUGAUUAUAAUAAUUUUGUUUCUACACAUUAUCUUGCACUGAUUUAACUGUCACCUUGAUUUGAAACCGUUUAAUUAAGGCAGCAUGAAAUCAGUGCGACAACCCAUUUGAAGCAGAUUUAUUCAAUUUGGCCAAACCCAGGAAAGCUGUGAUUCAAGCUGAGCUGAAAUAGGUUGUUCUAAUCUGAUUUCACAGAGGUUUUGUAGCAAUAUAACUGCUUUGGUUGGUUAGGCUUGGGGCUUGAUCUCUCUUUUGCUCAAACACUUGUUUGAAUACAGCCUUUCUUGUGGACAUGAGCAUAGUGUAGGGAGGUACCGUACAGUGGCACAGUUCAUUCCCUGUGGCUGUGGUUGUGCUAACCAAACACUGCAGAAGUGACACCUGUCCCCAGAUGCUGAGGGGUGGCUGUGGCUGCUGGGACUGUGAGUAGCUGCCAUCCCACACCAGCACUUCCAUGGCAGCACGAGUUCCUCAGGCAGAAAAGCCCUGCCAGCAGGCCAUUCUAUCCAGUUGGGGAACAUCCUUACACAGGAGAGGAAGCGCUUGUUUUACCCACGAUGUAUGGGUAAAAAAGAUCUCAAAGCUAAAGCAGCUUUGCUAGAGAGGCUAGGCUGAAAUAGGCAGACUCAGCUGCCAAGGACUGAAAUUACUGAAAACAUGUCAAUAUAUGGGUAAGUUCUAUGCACAUGCUUGCACAGGUUACAUAGAUCUAUUUAAAUUGAUUUAGUGCAUGAUUUGAGUUUGGUCAUAGUUGCCUCAUGGCUCAGAGUCUGCAAUCACUCCUCUCUUAAGAGCAUUACUGGCAGUAUGAUCUCUUGGCGAGGAGGAGUCUGAUCUCAGGGUUGGAUGUAAUUCAUGCCCAGUGUGAGACACAUUAGCCAAGGCCACUGUACAGUGCUGCUCCUGUUACUGCAUGCUGCCUUUGAAACCAAGCACAGCAUUACCCUCAACAUUGCCCAAGGCCAAAGGUGGCCUGACUCAGGGGAGCAGCAUCCGUCCCAGCAGCAUCAGCUGUUUUCCUCGGAGCUGCCUAUGACAUUAAUGAAUGAAGUCUCAUUAUUUAUCAGUCAAAUAAGCAUGGCUAAUUCUCUACUGAGAGCAAAACAUGAAGCUCCCAUGUGACAUCUCCCUCCUCCUGGCAGACAGAUGGUGGGGAAGGAUCCCCACCAGGUGAUACAGGUGGCACUACAGAACCUGCAGGGAGAGCAGGCACUACAGAACCUGCAGGGAGAGCAGAAGGGGUUGUGCCUUGGGGCCUCCAGGCAACAUCCCAGGGGGAAGUGAGUGAGGCAGCCUGGGGGCCCCAGCUAGGAUGUCUCCAUCUUCACCUUGGAGCUCCCCUGCUGCCACAUCUGUUGGUAUUCCUGGCUGAGAAUAAGAAAUGGAAGGAACAGCUUUUAAAAAUAUUUCUUCAGCUGAACUGCUGUUCAUUCAGAGAAGGGGGAUGCAUGCAUGUCUCAGCCUCUUCAGUCACUUUUUGCCAGCAGGGCAGGUUCCUGGCUCCCAGGAUCUCAGAGGAGGCAGUGGCAGGGGGGUGUCAUGGAGCAGCCACCUUCCUGGCUGAGACUUUGGGGGUGCCCCUGGUUGGAGGAUAAAAGCCCAAAUGGGUGAUGGGGCUCUAUUUUGACAGUUGAAAUAGCAUUAAUGUUUGCUUUUAAAGGUAAAUACCCAAGUCAGUUACAAGGCUUUCUUUGUUAUCCAAAAUCUCUGAAUUCAGAAGGUGACGCUUCCACAGCAGUGUCACAGCAACCACAGCUGUCUGGGAGUGCAUCCCUGGGCAACUUUUCCAUUUCAUUAUUCAUGUAGCCUGGCUUGCUUCCUCCCCUGUGCUGGGAAGAGCUCUUUGUAUGUGUGUGAGCCUAUAUGCAAAUGUAUAUGAAAGAGUGAGCAUAUAUAGAUGUUACAUUUUUCAAAUAAAGCGGCUGGAAAGCACUAUGCUCCAAAAGACAAUUACCUCCACCUCCAUUUUGCCAGUGCCACCAUAGACAUCAGUGUCCCCAGCAGAGUUAAGGCUGUGACCACCUCCUGCUCCUCAUGCUGCUGAGGCAUACAUUUCUGGCAGCUCCAAUAUCUGUUUGUGGAUGCUCUGGCUGCUGCAGAGCUGCUGGGUGGCAGAUGACUCCACUCCUGGGACAAGCAUGUCACAUCCCCCAUCUCACUUCCCCUCAGGGAGUUUCAGUGACUUACAGUAAGGGGAUGCCUCCCUGAGGAGGUACAUCUGGGGGUAUCAGUCAACCAGUGGUACCACGUGUGAUUGGUGCUGCCUGCAAGCAGGUAAAUUAUUGCAUCCUGAGGGAGCUGCACUAAUACAACUUAGCAUCUCGUUCACGUCUUUGAAAGGUUUCACAAAUAUUAGCCAUGCUAAAACAUUUCUAUCCAUACUCUGUGGAAGCCAACCUAAUUCCGUAGUCCAGGUAUCUCAUUUUUUUCUCAUUUUACACUCAGUAUGGAGACCAAAUUAGUGCAGACGAAGCAGGGACAAGCAUUGCUCUCCUCCCCCAGGCACACUGUGGCUGUGGUUGGGGCUCUGCUGCCUGCCGGCAGCCUCCAUCACUCAUUCCUCCUGACAUCUCCAUUUUUCUCUCUCGAAUGAACCACCUGCGCGUACAUGAAAUGGCACUUAAUGGUUCUCUGCACUACCUCCUUCGCCUUGACAUGAUGCUGCUUUGAGCGUGUGUAGUGGUGACGUGUAACAUUCCUACAUAAAAGCAUUACAUUUGUAUAGCGUUUUAGAGUGCCGCAUAUAUUUAUAUAUAUAUAUAUAAAAAAAUAAUCCACAGAGCUUGAGUUCUGGAAGGAAGCAGUUUAAAUCCGAGCCAUAGUCACUGCAUCUCUGCAGCACUGUGCUGUCAGUGAAGGCAGCUCCUUGCCCUGACUUACCUACUUGCUGGUGGCUGCAGCGGUGUUUUUGAAGCUGGGUGCCAGCUGUGUUUUUCAGACGUGGAAGCUAUUUAGCAGCUUGUAGCUAAAGCGUGUGUGAGACAGACGGUAACUCAAUCUGAUGUGAGGAGUCACCAUUCUGCUUCUGAAUCACGCCUCAACCCUUUGGAGAAAGUAAUCAUUAGACUAGUGUAAGGAUAGGGGCGCUUAGCAUGAUGAUGAAACUCAAAGCUGGAAAGAUAAGAGAUUAAAGAUAGCGCUUGCUCAUCAGUCAAGACAUCUGGGUUUGGUUUAUGGCACACAUUCCUCAGCAUCUGUACUGGAGACUGGAGGAUUUCCUUCUUUUCCUCGGCUUUUGUUCCCUCAUCCUGUAUCACAGCCACCCGUCCCUGCAGAUGCCGUGAACCCAGCCAUAGGACCACCAGUCUGGGGCCAAAAACCUCUCAUUCUCAUGGUUUUUGCAACACAGUGAAGCAGUGCACAGGAUCUGCCAACCCAACUGUAUCCAAAAGCCUGGGAGGGGUAGCUGGCAAGCCUGUUCUGGAGCAAGCACUGCUGAUAGAGAGCCAAACCCCAGUAUAAACAUUGCUUGCACUCUGACUUCAUUUGACAGAAUGGGGAUUUGAAUAAGACCCGUAUGCCCAGAUGACCCAGUGGCACAGGGAGCUGACAGCUUAGUGAGUGUGGAUGGCUGAAACAAUGCCGGGCACUCUAUGCCACUGGCAGACAUCUGUGCUUAGGGACUAUAUCAAAACACUGGGGCUGGUGAGAGGCAGAGAUUUGUUCCUUCACUCAUCUCUCGGCAAGGCUGCUAGUGCAGUCUCACAUCAAGCACAGGGUGCAGGUUUAGGUGCAACCACGUAAGAAGGACAUAAAACUGUCACAGAGCAUCCAAAGGAGGGCUCUGAAGACGGGGAAUGGUCUGGAAGGUAAGGUGCAUGAGGAGUGGCUGAGGUCCCUGAGUUGGUUCAGCCCAGAGCAAAGAGAUUAACAGAGGCCUCAUGGUGGCUGCAGCUCCUCACAGGGAGUGGAGGGGCAGCGCUGAGCUCUGCAAUCUGUGACAGCGACAGGGCCCGAAGGAAUGGCAUGGAGCUGUGUCAGGGGAGGGGCAGUGGGGGUUAGGGACAGGGUCUGCACCAGAGGGCGGUGGGCAUAGCCCCAAGCUGUUGGGAGUUCAAGGUGCGUUUGGACACUGCUCUCAGAGACAGGGUUUGGAUUCUGGGUGGUGCUGUGUGGAGCCAGCGGUUGGACUCAAUGGUCCUCCUCUCUUCCAACUUGAGAUGUUUUAUUAUUCUGUGAUUCUCUGAUUGCAUCCAUAGCCUCUCUGGAAGCGUGUGCCCUGGAUUUUCACUGUAUAUUUUGACUUUUAGCAUUGAAAAGCAAGCACAAAAUGAUGCUAAGGGAUAUACAAAACAUGUAUGAAAGAGUAUAUCUCUGGCCAGAAAUAAACAGGGGGAAGGCAUCACUAGAGAGGCUUCAGCAGCCCUGAGAGCAGUGCUGCUGCUACCUGCAUGCUGGAUGCUCCUCAUCUUCAUGCUUCUGACCACAGCCCUUCCCACAACAUCAAGGCACGCUCAAGUGACGGGAAUCCAGGGAGGCAGACAUCUAGUGUGGGGCUGGCUUGUCCUCAGGAAGUAGGGCAAAGUGGUCAGGGCAUGGCCUGGGACCAAGAGUGAAAUGAUAGCCACAUUGUCACCCAGUUAAAAAUAAACAAAUCCAACAUGACUUUACAGAAAGCAGUGUUGGAAAUGCCACAGAAAUAACAAAGAUCUGCAGGUCUGGUUAUAAAAAGGGUGUGGGAGGAAAAAACGCAGCAGAAAGGUGGAGAUUUAUGGGGACCUCUUACAAGGCAUAAUUGAGAGAGCAGGGAGAAGAAACAGAAAUAUGUGUAAAGAUGCCAGGGGACAUGUUCCAAUCUCAUAUCUGAAGAUGCAUGUGCAUUUAUGGGCAAGUGAUUACUCCAGUGUAUUGGUAAAGGCAUAUGAAAACAGGUAUAUGCAUAUGCAAGCAGCCAUUUACGUUCACUGGUAUGAAUUAUGCAUAUACAGCUUCCUGUAAGAUGCAUGGCCCUGUGGCUUUUAUUGGUGCAAAUCAAGACUCAUGCAUUUUGAAUAUAUGGCCCUUUUAUGUCUGCCUACACCUAUGUCAGUAUUUUAUUGGGCUAUUGUGUGCAUUUCACAGAGACUAUGUUGCAGAGAUCCGUACCACUAUCAGCCUUAGUUGAGGAUGCUGCCAACCUGUGUGGACAGAGCAUUAGAUAGCAGAGCAUUAAGGUAACUGUUUUUUUAUCCCUUAAAUGCUGUAUUUCAGGCCAAUCACUUUACAGGAUGCACAGAGCAAGCACUACUGCUCUGUACAGGAAUAAAGAACUGAUACGGCGCACUUCUGCUCUCACUGAGGGCAAAGAGGAGGCCAUCUAUUCUUGUUGUGUUCAAAAAGGUCUGUUUAUAAAGCUGCAUAUGAAAUGGUGGUGGAUUCUUUGCCAGUGACUGACUUGCUGCACAGGCACAAGCAAAGUGCUUACCCUUUUGUUCUUGCUUUCUGCCAUAGCAAAAAUAACAGGAUAGCAAACUGCUACAGCUUUAUUUAGAAGGUGACCUGGAGAGAAACUGAGGGGUAGACGUACCGUUUUCUGCCUCACCUGGGACAGAAUGUGAAGGGACAGAAUGUGAACGCAGCUGUACUCUUUGUUCCUGCCUGCAGCCCCUCGGAGCCCUCCUUCCCUGGUGGUGCAUCAUAGCACAGCAUCCCACUGAUCGAUGCUGAUGAACUGACUCCAGAAAAAGGGCCUUCCUUCCUUUGUUUCCUACUAGCCAGGAAACGAUUGGGCCGGUCCACCCUUGGGACACUUUGCAGUCUAUAAAACCAAGCGACAGCUCUUAUGCCGGGUAGCACAGCCCAGGCGCCUUGCAGGGAGGCACAGGGAGGAGCAAGGUUCAUCUCCCCAGCCCAGACAGUUGAGGAAGAGGCCAAAUCAUUGGGUGGAGAAUCCUUUUUACUUCCAGGUGUAGCAGCUGAUUAAGUGAAAAGGUAUCUGCCCUGCAAGCCUGGAUUUUUUAUAUAUAUAUAUCUUUAGGAUUUUUUUUAUGUCUUCAAGUUUAAAACCAGCAGCAUUCCUCUGAUCGGUUAGUAGUAUAUAAUUUUAAAGGAAAAAAAGAAAGAAAACAGGGGUUGCAAAGAAUAAUUUUAGUGCAUCAUUCAGAGCUGUGAUAACUGCAUGAGAAGGAAGCAGGCCAUGCUGCGGACAGCAUUUAAGAAGCAAAGAGCGUGCCUGGAUGACAGCGGGCAUUUGUAUUAUCAUCUUUAAACACUGGGUUUGUCUAAUGGACUGCAGUGGGUCUUUACAUUAAGACUGUGUUUUCUUACAUACUUGGUUUUUGCCAUUGCACACAGGCACCGCCUAGCUGUAAUGGGAUCCUCCUGAAUCUCCUGGGCAAUAGCGCAGCAACAUUCUUUCCCAGUCUAAGUGAUACUGCAGCGUGUCGGCGCAUUUGGAGGUCAAGCAGCGUGGCAGUAUGAUGAAAACUCCCGUUCAGCAAAGCGUUCCGCCGCUCAUGGUUCGGCUGCUGUGAGCUAUUCCCAUCCUUACUCACUGUGUAUGUCAUGGGAACAUGUAGGUGCUGUGUUAUGGGAUACCAAUAGACCAUGUCCUGAAAAGCUGAAUGUCUUCUCUGGCUUUAAGAACCAAAUUAACUUUGUUACCAGAUAUUGAUGCUAAAAAAGAGAAUGUGACAUGUAUUUGAUCCAUUCUCAUUUCUGUUAGUACUCUGCUCUGUGAACAAAAGUUCUUACAGUCUCUACACAUGUUCUGAAGCUCUGUGUGCUUCCCUGUUGCUAACUUUUCCUACCAGCAUCACAGUUCAAGGGUGUACAGAACAGCUUGCCUGGGAAGGACCUGGAGCUCACCUGCUCUGAUCCCAGUGCAAAUGGGGUUGACUUGGAGAGGCUCUUCAGGGCCUUGUCCAGCCAAGCCUAUGCUGGCAGUCAGUGGUCUUGCUCUUCCCAACAGUUGCUCAAAGGUUUCAAGUCAAAAGUUUACUUGGGAAGUAAAUAUUUAAAGCUUUACAUAAAAAAACUGCAUGCGCACAUACAUAUUCCCUCAUGCAUGCUUGUAUAUAUGUAACAUAAGAGCUCGGAGCAGAGAACUAUUACUAUAACCACACUUGGGAAAUAUUUGCAUUUAGCUUACUUUACCCAGACACUCAGUCCUUAAACUCAG